rnacentral:rRNA from 1 species
GACAGGUGGGAUUGCGUUUGAAUCUUUAACAGGUAUUAAGCGUGAUUAGGCGGUUCAAAGAACUAGAGUUACUUUGAGGAGAAUAGGAAUAACCCAUGGAAGGAUGAAAUCUGGUGAUAUGGGUUGGAACAUCGACUGGCGACAGCAUUAUUCUAUUAAGUAACUGACGCUGAUUCACUAAAGUGUGGGGAGCAAAUCGG